GUGAAGCCCCCCUCAAGAUGAGAUAUCCCAUCCGAAAGGAGUAAACCCCCUUGAAGACGACGAGGUUGAUAGGGCAGGGGUGGAAGUACGGUAACGUAUGGAGCUGACUGCUACUAAUAGGGUGAGGGCUUGACCAA
rnacentral:rRNA from 1 species